UCAUAGCACACUCCAACGUCUGCCUUUUGUC
rnacentral:piRNA from 1 species